GAGAAAAUAGUUUAAUUUAAAACACUUUAUUGAAAAUAAAGAAGAUGGGGGUUUCCUUUUCUCU
rnacentral:tRNA from 1 species